rnacentral:lncRNA from 1 species
UUGUUCCUAACAAUCUCCAUCACCAUUUUCCUGAACAAAUUGGCAGGGCCACAAGACCAACGAUGCUGCUGAAAACGGAAGGCUUUGAAUGUACUUGGAAGUUCACUUUUCACCUACAUUUGAAAGAAAAUCCCGUUUAGUAAACUUGAAGUAAAAUUAAGCAAACAGAAUGGUUCUACGAGGAAAUUAAUCAAACACCUGGAGAUCACCAAGGUAAAGAAACUUCCAGCCUUUGAGACUAGCUCUAACUGCAAGGUCCAUAUCCUCCACAGUUGUUCUGUCUUUCCAUCCACCAGCUUCAGUAAUUGCUGCUAUUCUCCAUACCCCUCCAGUUCCUGUAAACAUUAAUGAUCACAUUUUUGUUCCAUAAACAACUGCAUUACAGAUUGACCGAGUUAAUUAUUAAUGUAAGAAGUAAUCAAGUAGUAAUAUCUCCCUUACCGUUGAAGCCAAAGAUUGCUGAAAACGGAAUGCUUUGAAUGUACUGGGAAGUUCACUUUUCACCUAAAGUACAAAGAAAACAAAAGGGAAUUUUAGCAGGUAUUUCCUCUAACUAGAAAGUUUUCAAGAAUUGUGGUCCAGUGAGGAAUUUUAUCAAGUACCUGGAGG